rnacentral:lncRNA from 1 species
CUGACUCCUUUCCUGAAGUGGACAUCUCCCCAGAGUGGGACCUGGAUGUUGAGUCCCACAUCAACAUUAAAUCAGUGACUAAACAUGCUUUGGUACCUAUGCCCAUCUAGUCCCCACACUGUCAGCUCACUGUCAAACCAUAACAGACACCGAUGUCACAAGGGCUGGAAUAGGCACUGUCAUGGUGACGUCAGGAUGCUUGCCAUGCCAGGAGUGCCCUUUCUGCAGUGCUAGACACUGCUGCAUGUGGAUGAAAGCUGGGGAGAGGAAGAACAGGAGCAGUGCUUUGAGUCAGCUGGAAUUGAUUGUAUGUAGAGCUAUCAGGACUUUCCCAGUGUCUACAGAUGUGCAGCAAACAAAAUCACCAGGUGCUGUGACUCCAGAAUACCCUGCAUCCAGUUUGCGAGAAACACACCCAGAGCUCCUGCUGCGCACAGCCCUAGCUCUGCCACUUAUGCUGCAGUGGGAAAUUCUGUGAGCAGAGUUUUACUGGACUCCUCAGAAGCUACACCCAUGUUAGUAAUCUUCACAGGUCCAGGACAUGAUUCAAUUUUUGUUAAGCUCUUGUCCAUGAUGAGUGAACAAAGUGCUUUGUGGAUACAAUAAAAGCUGUGGUGGAAAAAAGCA